rnacentral:rRNA from 1 species
GGGCGGGGGCACGGGGGGACUCCUACGGGAGGCAGCAGUCGGGAAUUUUGGGCAAUGGGCGAAAGCCUGACCCAGCAACGCCGCGUGAAGGAUGAAGUCUUUCGGGAUGUAAACUUCGUAAGAAUAGGAAGAAUAAAUGACGGUACUAUUUGUAAGGUCCGGCUAACUACGUGCCAGCAGCCGCGGUAAUACGUAGGGACCAAGCGUUGUUCGGAUUUACUGGGCGUAAAGGGCGCGUAGGCGGCGUGUCAAGUCAAUUGUGAAAUCUCCGAGCUUAACUCGGAACGGUCAAUUGAUACUGAUGUGCUAGAGUGCAGAAGGGGCAAUCGGAAUUCUUGGUGUAGCGGUGAAAUGCGUAGAUAUCAAGAGGAACACCUGAGGUGAGGACGGGUUGCUGGGCUGACACUGACGCUGAGGCGCGAAAGCUAGGGUAGCAAACGGGAUUAGAUACCCCGGUAGUCCUAGCCCUAAACGAUGAAUACUUGGUGUCUGGAGUUUUAAUUCUCCGGGUGCCGUCGCUAACGUUUUUAGUAUUCCGCCUGGGGAGUACGCACGCAAGUGUGAAACUCAAAGGAAUUGACGG